rnacentral:tRNA from 3 species
GCGCGAGUGGUGAAAUUGGCAGACACGCAGGAUUUAGGUUCCUGUGCCUUCGGGCGUGUGGGUUCAAGUCCCACCUUGCGCACCA